ACGGUCAUAUUUUACGUUGACAACAUCGGUUCUCGUCUGAUCACUGAAGUUCGGCAACGUCGGUAAGUACUUGGGAGGGUGACCACCUGGGAACACCGGAUGCUGUAGGCG